UCGGGGGUCGUCUAAUGGUAGGACUGCAGGCUCUGAACCUGCCUAUGGGGGUUCGAAUCCCUCCCCCCGAG
rnacentral:tRNA from 1 species